rnacentral:tRNA from 1 species
GCCUGGCUGGCUCAGUUGAGAGAGCAUCUGACUCUUGAUCUCAGGGUCAUGAGUUUGAGUCCCAUGUUAGGUG